ACACCUAGUAAAGAUCUUCAGCCAGUUA
rnacentral:sRNA from 1 species